rnacentral:sRNA from 1 species
CCUUCGAUUAAGGUUCGACUCGAGCGAAAGCGAGAGAACGUUGCCGCAGGCAACGGCCCGAAGGGUGAGGAGCGAAGCGACGAAUAAUCCUUCCCCCACCACCA